CCUACGGGGGGCUGCAGUGGGGAAUAUUGGACAAUGGGGGCAACCCUGAUCCAGCCAUGCCGCGUGUGUGAAGAAGGCCCUCGGGUUGUAAAGCACUUUCAGUGAGGAAGAACGCCUGGUGGUUAAUACCCAUCAGGAAAGACAUCACUCACAGAAGAAGCACCGGCUAACUCCGUGCCAGCAGCCGCGGUAAUACGGAGGGUGCGAGCGUUAAUCGGAAUUACUGGGCGUAAAGCGCGCGUAGGUGGCUUGAUAAGCCGGUUGUGAAAGCCCCGGGCUCAACCUGGGAACGGCAUCCGGAACUGUCCAGCUAGAGUGCAGGAGAGGAAGGUAGAAUUCCCGGUGUAGCGGUGAAAUGCGUAGAGAUCGGGAGGAAUACCAGUGGCGAAGGCGGCCUUCUGGACUGACACUGACACUGAGGUGCGAAAGCGUGGGUAGCAAACAGGAUUAGAUACCCUUGUAGUC
rnacentral:rRNA from 1 species